UAUUCUUGUAAUGACCAAAUGACACCAGUUACUGGGAGUCAAUGGAGACAGAUGACCAGGACAUUAGCACUCUGGUUGCUCUGCUAUUCCAGGUCUGUGGGGUGUAUUCACUGAACUGCGAAUUGUGGAGGAUUGAUAAAGAUCAAUGCCCAUUUUAAGUUAGAAUUUCCAAGGUGGAAAAUUAAAAAGAGCUCAAUUUAAUAAAAUGAGCAUUUCACAUGUUAAGGCC